GAUGAACGCUGGCGGCAGGCUUAACACAUGCAAGUCGAACGCAUCCUUCGGGGUGAGUGGCAGACGGGUGAGUAACGCGUGGGAACGUGCCCUUCAGUUCGGGAUAACCCAGGGAAACUUGGGCUAAUACCGGAUACGUGCGAGAGCAGAAAGAUUUAUCGCUGAAGGAUCGGCCCGCGUCUGAUUAGCUAGUUGGUGGGGUAAUGGCCCACCAAGGCGACGAUCAGUAGCUGGUCUGAGAGGAUGAUCAGCCACAUUGGGACUGAGACACGGCCCAAACUCCUACGGGAGGCAGCAGUGGGGAAUAUUGGACAACGGGCGCAAGCCUGAUCCAGCCAUGCCGCGUGAGUGAUGAAGGCCUUAGGGUUGUAAAGCUCUUUCGUCCGGGACGAUAAUGACGGUACCGGAAGAAGAAGCCCCGGCUAACUUCGUGCCAGCCGCCGCGGUAA
rnacentral:rRNA from 1 species